rnacentral:rRNA from 1 species
AUUGAACGCUGGCGGCAGGCCUAACACAUGCAAGUCGAACGAGUGGCGGACGGGUGAGUAAUGUCUGGGAAACUGCCUGAUGGAGGGGGAUAACUACUGGAAACGGUAGCUAAUACCGCAUACCAUCGGAUGUGCCCCGAUGGGAUUAGCUAGUAGGUGGGGUAACGGCUCACCUAGGCGACGAUCCCUAGCUGGUCUGAGAGGAUGACCAGCCACACUGGAACUGAGACACGGUCCAGAGUCCUACGGGAGGCAGCAGUGGGGAAUAUUGCAAAAUGGGGGAGAGCCGGAUGCAGCAAUGCCGAGUGUGUGAAGAAGGCCUUCGGGUUGUAAAGUACUUUCGGCGGGGAGGCGUUACCCGCAGAAGAAGCACCGGCUAACUCCGUGCCAGCAGCCGCGGUAAUUC